rnacentral:rRNA from 1 species
GUACACUCCUGCGGGAGGCAGCAGUGGGGAAUUUUGGACAAUGGGCGAAAGCCUGAUCCAGCAAUGCCGCGUGUGUGAAGAAGGCCUUCGGGUUGUAAAGCACUUUUGUCCGGAAAGAAAUCCUUGGCUCUAAUACAGUCGGGGGAUGACGGUACCGGAAGAAUAAGCACCGGCUAACUACGUGCCAGCAGCCGCGGUAAUACGUAGGGUGCGAGCGUUAAUCGGAAUUACUGGGCGUAAAGCGUGCGCAGGCGGUUUGCUAAGACCGAUGUGAAAUCCCCGGGCUCAACCUGGGAACUGCAUUGGUGACUGGCAGGCUAGAGUAUGGCAGAGGGGGGUAGAAUUCCACGUGUAGCAGUGAAAUGCGUAGAGAUGGGGAGGAAUACCGAUGGCGAAGGCAGCCCCCUGGGCCAAUACUGACGCUCAUGCACGAAAGCGUGGGGAGCAAACAGGAUUAGAUACCCGGGUAGUCCCAUGA